rnacentral:rRNA from 1 species
AUGAUGGAAUUCCCUGCGCUCAAUGGGCAAAGUGUGGCUUACGCCAUGCUCAAGUUCCCCUCCGAAUCUGUGAACCCGCCACACACUCACCCCCGCGCCGCCGAGCUGCUGCUCGUCCUUGACGGCGCGCUCUCCGUCGGCUUCGUCGACACGGCCGGCAAGCUCUACACGCAGGACCUGGCCGCCGGCGACAUGUUCGUGUUCCCCAAGGGCCUGGUGCACUACCAGUCCAACCCGGGGCAAAGGCCCGCCGUGGCGCUCUCCGCGUUCGGCAGCUCUGCGCCCGGCACUGUGUCCGUGCCCGUUACUGUGUUCGGCACCGGUGUCGAUGACGCCGUGCUUGCCAAGUCAUUCAAGACCGACCUGCCCACCGUGCAGAAGCUCAAGGCGGCGCUCACUCCACCUCCCAAGAAGUGA